AUGUUGAAACAGGGCCUGAUUAUACCAAGCACGAGUCCAUUCUCUUCUCCGGUGUUGCUGGUCAAGAAAAAGGAUCAAACAUGGCGCUUUUGUGUGGAUUUUCGUCAUCUGAACGCCAUCACGAUCAAGCCCAAAUUUCCUCUGCCGAUCAUUGACGAGCUCCUGGACGAAUUGGCAGGCUCCAAAUGGUUCUCAAAGCUUGACUUACGUGCUGGAUAUCAUCAAAUAAGGCUAGUGGAACAAGAUGAAGAAAAAACAGCCUUCACAACCCAUCAGGGACAUUUCCAGUUCCGGGUGCUGCCAUAUGGUGUCACUGGAGGCCCCAGCACAUUUCAGUCGAUGAUAUAG
rnacentral:rRNA from 1 species